rnacentral:rRNA from 1 species
UACGUAGGGGGCAAGCGUUGUCCGGAAUCAUUGGGCGUAAAGCGCGUGUAGGCGGCUUGGUAAGUCCGCUCUGAAAGCCCGGGGGCUCAACCCCGGGAGGCGGGUGGAUACUGUCAAGCUCGAGUCCGGAAGAGGCGAGUGGAAUUCCUGGUGUAGCGGUGAAAAUGCGCAGAUAUCAGGAGGAACACCAAUGGCGAAGGCAGCUCGCUGGGACGUGACUGACGCUGAGACGCGAAAGCGUGGGGAGCAAACAGG